UUUGGCAUAAAUUGCAAUCGAUUAGGGAUCGGUUCUCAGACUCAAGUUAGAAGUGAGAUUUCAGAUAAGUGAGGCCAGCGUUGCUGCUUUGGACACCUCAGAAGGAGAGAAUGGAUUUAUCAGGAGUGAAAAAGAAGGGCUUGCUAGGAGUCAAAGAAAAUACUAAAAAGUCCAGCACUAGGGCUCCUUCUCCUACCAAACGAAAGGACCGCUCUGAUGAGAAGUCCAAAGAUGGCUCUAAAGACAAAGGGGCCACCAAGGAGUCUCGUGAGAAGGACUGCGGCAGGGAUAAGACCCAGAGGAGGCGCAGUGCUUCCAGCGGAAGCAGCAGCACCAGGUUUCGGUCAAGCUCGACUUCUAGCUCAGGCUCUAGUACCAGCGCAGGCUCGAGCACCGGCCCCAGUUCCUCUUGGCAUCCAGCCAUUCUGGAAGCUCCAGUGCACCUCGAAGUUCCAGCUCCAGCAGCUGCUGUGGUUCUCCAGGCCCUUCUCGGUGCACACAUGACAAGGCGGCGCUCCCCCUCCAAAUCCAAACCACCUAAAGAGAUAGAAAAGAGGAAAAGGCGAAGCCCUUCCCCUAAACCCACCUCAGUGCACAUUGGGAGGCUUACCGGGAAUGUGACUAAGGACCACAUCAUGGAGAUAUUGUCCACCUAUGGGAAGAUUAAAUGAUUGAAAUGCCUGUAGAAAAGUUGCAUCUUCAUCUAUCCAAAGGCUAUGCAUAUGUGGGGUUUGAGAAUCCAGACGAAGCUGAGAAAGCACUGAAGCAAAUGGAUGGAGGACAACUUGAUCGGGAGAUCCCUGCUAUUGUUGUGCUGGCUCCCCGGCCUAGGCCACUGCCCUGAUGGUUCAGCCCUCCCAGGAGAAUGCUGCCACCACCUCUUAUGUGGCGCAGGUCACCCCCACAGAUGAGGAGAGGGUCAUGCUCCCCAAGAUGCAGGUCCCCUGUACGCAGGCGGCCCCCGUUCUCCUGGCCGCUGCCACCAGAGGAGCUGCUCUAGCUCCAAUUCUUCCCAGUAA